GACGAACGCUGGCGGCGUGCUUAAUACAUGCAAGUCGAACGAUGAAGCCAGCUUUCGGUUGGAUGGAUGGCUUACGAGUGGGUAACACGUGCGUAAGCUACCCCACACUUAGGGGUGAGCCUGUGAAACUGGGGCUAAUACCUACUGUGACCGAGACUCUCAUGCAUGUUGUUUGAAAACUCCGGCGGUUUGGGAUGGUCCCGCGGCCUAUCAGCUUGUUGGUGGGGUAAUGGCCUACAAAGGCGACGACGGGUGGCCGUACUGAGAGGGCGACAGGCCACAGUGGGCCUGAGAAACCGGCCAGAGUCAUACGGGAGGCAUCAGUGGGGGACAUUGCACGCUGCGCGGAAGCAUGAUGGAGCGUCGCCGCGUGAGAGAUGACGGUUGUAGGGUUGUAACGCUCUUUCGCCUGGGACGAAGCGACAGUGACGGUACCUGGAGAAGAAGCACCGGCUAACUACGUG
rnacentral:rRNA from 1 species